UGAAAUAUAGCUCAGUGGUAGAGCGUGUGCUUAGCAUGCAUGCAUAAGGUCCUGGGUUCAAUCCCCAGUACCUAAA
rnacentral:tRNA from 1 species